GACAGAGGUGCCAAGCGUUAGGCGGAAUCACUGGGCUUAAAGCGUGUGUAGGCGGAUCGUUAAGUACCUUGUGAAAUCCCACGGCUCAACCGUGGAACUGCUGGGUAUACUGGCGAUCUUGAGCCACCUAGGGGCGAGCGGAACAAGCGGUGGAGCGGUGAAAUGCGUAGAUAUCGCUUGGAACGCCAAUGGUGAAAACAGCUCGCUGGGGGUGUGCUGACGCUGGAGACACGAAAGCCAGGGGAGCAAACGGG
rnacentral:rRNA from 1 species